GCCCUAGUCAGAACUGUUGCACACCUGGCCCCUGGUAACAGUGUUCUUUCUGUCCAGUGUAACCACAGUUGACAACACCACCUGCUUUUUUGAGGCCAGUGAAGAAGUCCACAAGUGCCUGCCUUGGUUCUGCUGUGCUUGCAGCUGUCACGGGAUCUGAAGCCAGCCCACUGCUUUCACAGAAUGAAGCUCCAGCUCAUCCACCCAGAUGCCAAGGACCAGGACACCCUCAACCAGUAACACACACUCUCCUUCUUCAAUGACGUUUGUGUUCCUAGAAUCCAUUUUCCUCAGUCAGGCCCUGGCCACGAAGACCCCUGCCUACCGAUCUUCUGUACUAGCCCAGCACGCGUGGACA
rnacentral:lncRNA from 10 species